rnacentral:rRNA from 1 species
UACGAAGGGGGCUAGCGUUGUUCGGAAUUAUUGGGCGUAAAGGGCUCGUAGGCGGUUUGUCGCGUCGGGAGUGAAAACCUUGGGCUUAACUCAGGGCUUGCUUUCGAUACGGGCAGACUAGAGGUAUGCAGGGGAGAACGGAAUUCCUGGUGUAGCGGUGAAAUGCGCAGAUAUCAGGAGGAACACCGGUGGCGAAGGCGGUUCUCUGGGCAUGAUCUGACGCUGAGGAGCGAAAGCGUGGGGAGCGAACAGG